UCCUCUUCUCUUGCCGAAACACGGAGAGAGACCCGGUGGGUCAGCGCCGGAGGAGUAGGAGGCGACGUUCGGUUCUGGGACGUCGACCAGUGGUUGGGGGCCGCGAUUCCCGGCGUUUGGAGGCCAUUUUUCUGUGGGUCUCCGGUAAGAGAGGAUCCGGCGAGGUAGGGAGCGAUUUCCGACGAUUUUUGGGUGAUUUUUUUCGAUGGAUUUCUGUGGAAAUCCUUGUGGUAAAAGGUCGACCCGACGCUAAUUGCAAAUCCAGAUGACACAGUAAGACGGAGUCAUUUCUUUGUAAUGGCGUAGACCUCGCUAAGAGCAAUAGAUCGUUUGUGGACCGACCCAACUUUUAUAUUGUAUAGUAUGUCUCUUUUUGAAAGUUAUGGCAUUGUAAAAUAUUAUUAAUAGACAGGAAUAAUAAAUUAGGAAGUUACAAUU